rnacentral:lncRNA from 1 species
CACGCUACUUCCGGUUUCCUUUCCCUCAGCUAUUCCAUGGCUUUUCGUGUGGACAAAUCGGGAGGUGGUGUAAACUGGUUUUUGGUGAAAUUCGGCUCGGCCUCAUGCGAACCUAUCUAGGUCCGUCUCUGGAGUGGCCUGUCAUCGAUCGCGCCCUCCAUCGCUGAGCGACACAAGUGGAACCCCCCAGGACUGCAUUCUGCGAAACUACCCUGCUUUUCCCCCAGUUUUGGUCUGUGAACACAUUUGGGAAAUUCUUCUGAUCCUACCGCUACUCUCUUGAGAUGAAGAAACAGCUCAGAUUUGACCAAGAUCACACAAGUAGGAGUUGAGGAAUUGGAACCCACUAUGACUGACUCCAAAUUAAUAUAGUGUUUAUAGCCACUUACAUAAUAAUGGUAAAGGUUUUAUUUUUUUCACUAUACAAUAUGUAGUAGAUAAAUUUACUGAGGAAAUGAGACAGCACGUGACAAAUCCUUAAAGGAUACACACAUGACAGGAAGGAUUAGAAGAGGAAACAGAAACAGGUAACAAAAAAAAAAAAAAA